rnacentral:tRNA from 1 species
GCCUUCGUGGUGUAUUGGUCAGCACACUCGGCACGUAAUCCAGGGGUACUAGGUUCGAAUCCCGGGGAGGGCA